UACGAAGGGGGCUAGCGUUGUUCGGAAUUACUGGGCGUAAAGGGCGCGUAGGCGGUGUGUCAAGUCAGGCGUGAAAGCCCCGGGCUCAACCUGGGAACAGCGCUUGAGACUGGCACGCUCGAGUUCGGGAGAGGAUGGUGGAAUUCCCAGUGUAGAGGUGAAAUUCGUAGAUAUUGGGAAGAACACCGAUGGCGAAGGCAGCCAUCUGGACCGACACUGACGCUGAGACGCGAAAGCGUGGGGAGCAACAGG
rnacentral:rRNA from 1 species